UUUGAGGGGAAUGUUGUCUGGCACGAGGCCUUUAACUCAGAUCUACGUUUUUGAUUAUAUAUUUUUAUAUAUAUGUACUCUCUUCUUUAUUCAUUAGUCUUCUAUACAUAUAUAUGUAUAUAUGUAUGAAUGAUCGAUCUAAUGGUUAAUGACGUCGGACCAGGCUUCAUUCCCCUCAAU
rnacentral:pre_miRNA from 1 species